UACGUAGGGGGCUAGCGUUGUCCGGAAUCAUUGGGCGUAAAGAGCGUGUAGGCGGCUCGGUAAGUCCGCUGUGAAAGUCCAGGGCUCAACCCUGGAAUGCCAGUGGAAACUGGUCGAGCUAGAGUCCGGAAGAGGAGAGUGGAAUUCCACGGUGUAGCGGUGAAAUGCGUAGAUAUGUGGAGGAACACCAGUGGCGAAGGCGACUCUCUGGUCGUAACUGACGCUGGAGCGACGAAGCGUGGGAGCAAACAGG
rnacentral:rRNA from 1 species